GCAGAAACCACAUUGUGAUGCUUUUUUCGUCUGCCACAGAAACAUUCCAGGGUACUGUGACUCCCUUGACCUGUCAAGGGUGACGCAGCUGCCCUGGGACACGGGG